rnacentral:tRNA from 1 species
AGAGACUUAGGUUAACCUCAAACCAGAGGCCUUCAAAGCCUCAAAUAAGGACUAAAACCCCUUAGCCUCUG